ensembl:snRNA U6 U6 spliceosomal RNA
GUGCUCGUUUUGCCAGCACGUAUACUAAAAUUGGAACGAUACAGAGAAGAUUAGCAUGGCCCUUGCACAUGAUUCAAGUUUAUCAUUCUGUAUGAUAGAGUGUUACU